rnacentral:rRNA from 1 species
UGAAUACGAGACGCUAAGGCGUCGAAGUAGUGUAUGUCAUACUUCCAAGAAAAGCUUGCACUGUCAUAAGUAAAAAAUGCCUGUACCAUAACCGACACAGGUGGGUAGGUAGAGUAUACUAAGGGGCGCGAGAUAACUCUCUCUAAGGAACUCGGCAAAAUAACUCCGUAACUUCGGGAGAAGGAGUACCUUAUUCUAUAAGGUUGCAAUAACAAGAUCCAAGCAACUGUUUAUCAAAAACACAGGUCUCCGCUAAGUCGUAAGACGAUGUAUGGGGGCUGACGCCUGCCCAGUGCCUAAGGUUAAAGAAGUCGGUUAGCAUUAGCGAAGCUGGUAACUGAAGCCCUGGUAACGGCGGCCGUAACAAUAACGGUCCUAAGGUAGCGAAAUUCCUUGUCGGGUAAGUUCCGACCCGCACGAAAGGCGUAAUGAUUUGGAUACUGUCUCGGAGAGGGGCUCGGUGAAAUAGACUUGUCUGUGAAGAUGCGGACUACCUGCACCAGGACAGAAAGACCCUAUGAAGCUUUACUGUAACUUGAAAUUGAAAUUGGACUUUAUUCGCGCAGUAUAGGUGGGAGGUGUUGAUUAUAAUCUUGCGGGAUUAUUGGAGCCAUCAGUGAGAUACCACUCUUGUAAUGUUAGAUUUCUAACUUUGAAUCAUUAUCUGGUCAAAGGACAGUUUCAGGCGGGCAGUUUGACUGGGGCGGUCGCCUCCCAAACGGUAACGGAGGCGUACAAAGGUUUCCUCUGAACGGGUAGAAAUCGUAUCUAGAGUGUAAAGGCAUAAGGAAGCUUGACUGUGAGACCUACAAGUCGAACAGGGACGAAAGUCGGUCUUAGUGAUCUGACGGUACUGAGUGGAAAGGCCGUCACUCAACGGAUAAAAGUUACUCUAAGGAUAACAGGCUGAUCUCCCCCAAGAGUUCACAUCGACGGGGAGGUUUGGCACCUCGAUGUCGGCUCAUCGCAUCCUGGGGCGGUAGUACGUCCCAAGGGUUGGGCUGUUCGCCCAUGAAAGCGGUACGCGAGCUGGGUUCAGAACGUCUUGAGACAGUUCGGUCCAUAUCCGGUGUAGGCGUUAGAAUAUUGAGAGGAGCCUUCUUUAGUACGAGAGGACCGAGAAGGACAUACCUCUGGUGUACCAGUUAUCGUGCCAACGGUAAACGCUGGGUAGCUAUGUAUGGAGUGGAUAACCGCUGAAAGCAUCUAAGUGGGAAGCCCACCUCAAGAUAAGUAUUCUC